rnacentral:tRNA from 3 species
GGCUCUGUAGCUCAGUGGUUAGAGCAGGGGAUUCAUAAGCCCAAGGUCGUAGGUUCAAAUCCAACCAGAGCCA